AGAGUUUGAUCAUGGCUCAGAUUGAACGCUGGCGGCAGGCCUAACACAUGCAAGUCGAACGGUAACAGGAAGCAGCUUGCUGCUUUGCUGACGAGUGGCGGACGGGUGAGUAAUGUCUGGGAAACUGCCUGAUGGAGGGGGAUAACUACUGGAAACGGUAGCUAAUACCGCAUAACGUCGCAAGACCAAAGAGGGGGACCUUCGGGCCUCUUGCCAUCGGAUGUGCCCAGAUGGGAUUAGCUAGUAGGUGGGGUAACGGCUCACCUAGGCGACGAUCCCUAGCUGGUCUGAGAGGAUGACCAGCCACACUGGAACUGAGACACGGUCCAGACUCCUACGGGAGGCAGCAGUGGGGAAUAUUGCACAAUGGGCGCAAGCCUGAUGCAGCCAUGCCGCGUGUAUGAAGAAGGCCUUCGGGUUGUAAAGUACUUUCAGCGGGGAGGAAGGGAGUAAAGUUAAUACCUUUGCUCAUUGACGUUACCCGCAGAAGAAGCACCGGCUAACUCCGUGCCAGCAGCCGCGGUAAUACGGAGGGUGCAAGCGUUAAUCGGAAUUACUGGGCGUAAAGCGCACGCAGGCGGUUUGUUAAGUCAGAUGUGAAAUCCCCGGGCUCAACCUGGGAACUGCAUCUGAUACUGGCAAGCUUGAGUCUCGUAGAGGGGGUAGAAUUCCAGGUGUAGCGGUGAAAUGCGUAGAGAUCUGGAAGAAUACCGGUGGCGAAGGCGGCCCCCUGGACGAAGACUGACGCUCAGGUGCGAAAGCGUGGGGAGCAAACAGGAUUAGAUACCCUGGUAGUCCACGCCGUAAACGAUGUCGACUUGGAGGUUGUGCCCUUGAGGCGUGGCUUCCGGAGCUAACGCGUUAAGUCGACCGCCUGGGGAGUACGGCCGCAAGGUUAAAACUCAAAUGAAUUGACGGGGGCCCGCACAAGCGGUGGAGCAUGUGGUUUAAUUCGAUGCAACGCGAAGAACCUUACCUGGUCUUGACAUCCACGGAAGUUUUCAGAGAUGAGAAUGUGCCUUCGGGAACCGUGAGACAGGUGCUGCAUGGCUGUCGUCAGCUCGUGUUGUGAAAUGUUGGGUUAAGUCCCGCAACGAGCGCAACCCUUAUCCUUUGUUGCCAGCGGUCCGGCCGGGAACUCAAAGGAGACUGCCAGUGAUAAAACUGGAGGAAGGUGGGGAUGACGUCAAGUCAUCAUGGCCCUUACGACCAGGGCUACACACGUGCUACAAUGGCGCAUACAAAGAGAAGCGACCUCGCGAGAGCAAGCGGACCUCAUAAAGUGCGUCGUAGUCCGGAUUGGAGUCUGCAACUCGACUCCAUGAAGUCGGAAUCGCUAGUAAUCGUGGAUCAGAAUGCCACGGUGAAUACGUUCCCGGGCCUUGUACACACCGCCCGUCACACCAUGGGAGUGGGUUGCAAAAGAAGUAGGUAGCUUAACCUUCGGGAGGGCGCUUACCACUUUGUGAUUCAUGACUGGGGUGAAGUCGUAACAAGGUAACCGUAGGGGAACCUGCGGUUGGAUCACCU
rnacentral:rRNA from 1 species